UACGAAGGGGGCUAGCGUUGCUCGGAAUUACUGGGCGUAAAGCGCACGUAGGCGGCUUUCUAAGUCGGGGGUGAAAUCCUGGAGCUCAACUCCAGAACUGCCUUCGAUACUGGAGAGCUUGAGUUCGGGAGAGGUGAGUGGAACUGCGAGUGUAGAGGUGAAAUUCGUAGAUAUUCGCAAGAACACCCGUGGCGAAGGCGGCUCUCUGGGACGGUACUGACGCUGAGACGCGAAAGCGUGGGGAGCGAACAGG
rnacentral:rRNA from 1 species